rnacentral:rRNA from 1 species
GACGAACGCUGGCGGCGUGCUUAACACAUGCAAGUCGAACGGAAAGGCCUGCUUUCCCUUGUGGAUUGCGGGUACUCGAGUGGCGAACGGGUGAGUAACACGUGAGUGAUCUGCCCCCAACUUGGGUACAAGCCUGGGAAACUGGGUCUAAUUCCCGAUAGGACUGCAGGGUGGUGCCUGUGGUGGAAAACGAUUUUCUAGUGGUUGGGGAUGAGCUCGCGGCCUAUCAGCUUGUUGGUGGGGUAAUGGCCUACCAAGGCGGCGACGGGUAGCCGGCCUGAGAGGGUGGACGGCCACAUUGGGACUGAGAUACGGCCCAGACUCCUACGGGAGGCAGCAGUGGGGAAUAUUGCACAAUGGGCGGAAGCCUGAUGCAGCGACGCCGCGUGGGGGAUGACGGCCUUCGGGUUGUAAACUCCUUUCGACCGCGAGGAAGCCACCUGGUUGGAAGGGUGGUGACGGUAGUGGUAGAAGAAGCACCGGCUAACUACGUG